UACGUAGGGUGCAAGCGUUGUCCGGAAUUAUUGGGCGUAAAGACCUCGUAGGCGGUUCGUCGCGUCGGCUGUGAAAUCCCGAGGCUCAACCUCGGGUCUGCAGUCGAUACGGGCGGACUGGAGUUCGGCAGGGGAGACUGGAAUUCCUGGUGUAGCGGUGAAAUGCGCAGAUAUCAGGAGGAACACCGGUGGCGAAGGCGGGUCUCUGGGCCGAUACUGACGCUGAGGAGCGAAAGCGUGGGGAGCGAACAGG
rnacentral:rRNA from 1 species